UACGAAGGGGGGCUAGCGUUGUUCGGAAUCACUGGGCGUAAAGCGCACGUAGGCGGAUCUUUAAGUCAGGGGGUGAAAUCCCGAGGCUCAACCUCGGAACUGCCUUUGAUACUGGGGGAUCUCGAGUCCGGGAGAGGUGAGUGGAACUGCGAGGUGUAGAGGUGAAAUUCGUAGAUAUUCGCAAGAACACCAGUGGCGAAGGCGGCUCACUGGCCCGGAACUGACGCUGAGGUGCGAAAGCGUGGGGAGCAAACAGGG
rnacentral:rRNA from 1 species